GACGCUAUGGACUUGUGGUCUGCACAGACACUGUGGGCCUGAUGCUCCUAUAGCAUUUGAAAGCAAAUUCAGGGGAAACCAUAUGUCGCAUGCCUAUGAUUUUUACAAGCCCAACCGUGCAAGUGAAUAUCCGCUUGUUCAAAAGAGCUUUGCCUGGUUGUGGUUCAAUGACUUCUUGAGGAAUGUCGUGAUUCGAUGACUUCUUGAGGAAUGUCGUGAUCUAGAGAUUGCUUUCGCCAUGUCUCUCUUAAAACUAAUUGGUGCUAGAGAGGGUUUUAGCUUUAGUUUUAAGAUUAUGUGAGGUCGACCUAUCAGUGUCUCUUGAGCUUUUGAAGCUGUUAUGAAAAUCUCUCCAAGUAUCUAAUCCCAUUUGUUCCCCUAGCUAUGGUCUCUUAGUGUCAGUCGGCCAUUAGAAUGCCUUUGCUAAGACUAAAUGUGUUUUAUUCA